rnacentral:lncRNA from 1 species
GGGCAGAUCACCUGAGGUCGGGAGUUCAAGACCAGCCUGACCAACAUGGAGAAACCCCAUCUCUACGAAUACAAAAUUGGCCAGGCAUGGUGGCACAUGCCUGUAAUCCCAACUACUCAGGAAGCUGAGGCAGCAGAAUCACUUGAACCCGGGAGGCGGAGGCUGCAGUGAGAGGAGAUCACGCCACUGCACUUCAAGGUAGGAGCGAGACUCCAUCUCAAAAAAAAAAAGGAAAAGUAAAGAAGGUCAUUCAUAACUAUUCAUAACUGCUUUUGUGAGAGUGUGUAGGUGUGAGUGUUUAUAUUUGGAGGAUAUGAGGUGUAAUAUGUGUAUACAAGAAGAAUUGGGGUUCGAUAUUUGUGAUUUGGGUUGUGAAGAUGUAUUUUCCAUAAGUUUUCUGAAAUGAAUGUUGGGGAUUUGUAUUUGUCUAAUGUUUGGCAGAUCUGGAAGAAUUACCUUGUUGUGCAUGUGGGCAAUAAUAGAGAAAGUGCUUGUGUCUAUUUUUGUGGAUGUACACUGUGGUUUACAUAUUUGGGGAAUGUAGGAAGACCAUUUGUGUGCUUAGGAUAUGUUGCAUCAUUGUGUGUGUUUCUUUUCACGAUUUUCAGGGGUUGUGUAUGGCCAUUUCAAUGUGUGAGGGCAGAUCCAUGACUAUUGGGGGACUGGUAGAAUGAAUGUGUGCAGUUGUGAGGUGGACUUUGUAUGAUUCUGUGUCUUGGAAAAUGGAGGAGUUAUUUCUGUGUGAGCAUUUAGAGGUGUGAUUACAUAUGUGCAGGUAUUGUGGGACUGGAUGUGUAUUUGGGGAUAUGAGGUGGCAUGUUUGCAUAUUUGUGGCGUGUUAGUUAAUCGCAGGUAUAUUUAGGGCAUGUAGGGAACUCCAUGAGUAUUGAGUGUGUGUGUGUGUUCAAGGGCAUGGCAGUUUGGAUGAAUGUUUUGUGGAGCUAUGUGCUUGUAUUUUUCAGUGAGUGGUUAUUAGGGUUAUAUAUUCUGGGAAUGUAGUAUAUGUGUCUCUGAUAGAGAGAUGGGGUUCUGUGUUUAUACAGGAGAGUGAGAGAAUUGAAUUUAUAUGUAUUAGAGGUAUGUGAUAUGGUUAUUGGUUAGUACUUGGCGAUGUGAGAGACACUCCCCUCGUUUACAAAGCAGUGCCCAGCUGGUUUGUGCGAGUGGAGAAUAUGGUGGACCGGUUCCUAAGGAACAGUGACCUGUGCUACCGGUGAGCAGUAAGAUGUGUUUCUUCGUAAUGUCUUUUGUCAUGUGGUUAGUGUGGUUUACACUUCCCCCAAGUUAUAAUUUUUUUUUUUUUUGAGACGGAGUCUCGCUCUGUCGCCCAGGCUGGAGUGCAGUGGCGUGAUCUCGGCUCACUGCAAACUCCGCCUCCCGGGUUCACGCCAUUCUCCUGCCUCAGCCUCCCGAGUAGCUGGGACUACAGGCACCUGCCACCAGGCCCGGCUAUUUUUUUGGAUUUUUUUAGUAGAGACGAGGUUUCACCGUGUUAUCCAGGAUGGUCUCGAUCUCCUGACCUCGUGAUCUGCCUGCCUCGGCCUCCCAAAGUGCUGGGAUUACAGGCGUGAGCCACCGUGCCUGGCCUUCUUUAGAUAAUUUGAACCAGUUUAUAACAAAAAUUUUAAAAUAGACUACAACUAAGUAGAAGACAGACCACGACAUAGAAAGUAGAAUGAAGUUAAAAUUCUGGGCUAAUACAAUUAUGCUGGCUAAACAUCAUUAGAAGCAACAAGGUAUAACAGAGAAUGUAGAUUUUGAAGUCAAACACAUUUGUUCACCCCUUCCUUACUGUAUAAUGUUGAGGAGUUGCUUAAUUUCUGAGAUGUAACAUCCUCCUCCACAAAAUGAUGUAACAAUUAUGUUGUAGAGUGUUGUGAGAAUUAAAUAAAAUGACAUUAUGUG